rnacentral:misc_RNA from 1 species
AAAUUUCAACCUCUUUCUUUUCUUUUGAAAAGCAAAGGCGGCUUGGACUUUUGGAAGUUGCUGGGCAAUGCAUAGUUCAGCUCUUCUCAAAUCUAUUAGCACGAUUGCUUCUGGUUAAUCCUUUGGUAUGAUAAUUAUCUAUGCCUUGCGGAAUUUCUAGACAAUGGCAUUGUGCUUCCAAUUGUCUUGCAAAGACAGUUUUUGAACAA